CCCUUAGAUGUCCUGGGCUGCACGCGCGCUACACUGACACGUUCAGCAAGUUUCCUAUUCCGAAGGGAAAAGGUAAUCUUUUGAAAUCGUGUCGUGAUGGGGAUAGAUUAUUGCAAUUAUUAAUCUUCAACGAGGAAUUCCUAGUAAGUGUAAGUCAUCAGCUUGCACUGAUUACGUCCCUGCCUUUUGUACACACCGCCCGUCGCUCCUACCGAUUGGGUGAUCCGGUGAAUAAUUCGGACUGCGCUUAUGGGCAACCAUUUGUGCGGGAAGUUUAGUGAACCUUAUCACUUAGAGGAAGGAGAAGUCGUAACA
rnacentral:rRNA from 1 species